UAGUUUCUGAAGUGUUCGAGUUACUUAUUAUGCUCAACCGACAAAAUGAUUACGGGAUUUUCAAAAGUUUUACCUAUGUCAUGCUCCGCUUUAAUUAUUUUGGGAGAAGACAGAAGUAAGAUGAGAAAAACCCACCUGCUUGGACGGCGGGCGUGAGCAUAUAAGGAGACGGCAUUUUGGGGCUAAU
rnacentral:other from 1 species